rnacentral:rRNA from 1 species
AGGGAAUAUUGCGCAAUGGACGGAAGUCUGACGCAGCGACGCCGCGUGAGCGAUGAAGGUCUUCGGAUCGUAAAGCUCUGUCCUUGGGGAAGAAGGUCUUCGGACUUGACGGUACCCAAGAAGAAAGCCCCGGCUAACUACGUGCCAGCAGCCGCGGUAAGACGUAGGAGGCGAGCGUUAUCCGGAUUUACUGGGCGUAAAGGGCAAGUAGGCGGCGGUUCAAGUUGGACGUGACAUCUCCCGGCUCAACUGGGAGGGGUCGUUCAAAACUGGGUCGCUGGAGGGCAGGAGAGGGAAGCGGAAUUCCUGGUGUAGCGGUGAAAUGCUCAGAUACCAGGAGGAACACCAGUGGCGAAGGCGGCUUCCUGGCCUGUACCUGACGCUGAGAGGCGAAAGCCAGGGGAGCGAACG